UUCAUGCUUUUUGGGCAGGUAGCACUGUUUGAACACCUGCUUUUUGGCAACUUCCCACUCUGGAUCUUGCCUUACCCAGUAGAAGAAUGAAAUGUAAUCUCCUACCCUUCCUUGCAGCUACGGCUCAGACAGGUAGCAUGGGCUCACCAAUUAGGCAUACCUGUGUGAAAUCUGGAAGCAAGUACUUUGCAGACAAGAGUAGUAUGAGAUACAUUUUGUUGAGCGGAGCAGUGAUGUGGUUUUCAAGGCAGCAGUGGCAGAGGUCCCAUGUAAUGGCGCAAGGUGUGGAGGCUUUGCUUAGCAGUUUUUCCCCCGCAGCUGCUCCAAGGUAUAAAAAUGGGCAUUUUUGGGGGCUCCGUAGUCCUGACCUCCACGCCUGUGACUUGUGAGCCAUUUUAUUCUGUUUGUUUAAACUAGCUAGUGUAGAUCCUGUUGUUUGUAACCAACAGUGUUGACAUACAGCCACUAUUUAAUUGUAACCACUGUCAACCUAUUUCCUCAUUUACCUCAGAUCCUUUUGUGUUUAAAUAAAGGAAAAGCUACACAUCCAUUGAA
rnacentral:antisense_RNA from 1 species